GUUGAGAACACGGCUCUUUGUCUGUGUAAAUAUGCAUCGGGAGCACACAGGUAAAUGGGCGAGGACUGAGGACAAUCACUAAUUAUCAAUCACUAAAAUCGAUUCUACAACAUUCCAGAUGCCUUGCAUUCAAAACAUGUCUUAAAGAAGCACAACAGGUUAACAUCAUCCAAUUUGAAGGAAGAGAGUAUAUUUUAAAAAAAGCCCAAUCCCCACAGUUUAAACAAAGACACGCGUGUUGUCUUUCGAGGACUGACGACUCGGGGGACCCGGUGUUUGAGAAGUCAAUCCAACUUCUGGUUUUAAUAACUGCAUCUUUUUUAACAGCGAUAUACUAUACUCGUUCAGCUAAAAUAACUCAUUGUAACGUUGAAUAAGAACUGUAACCCACACGUAAUUGAGGCUAGUCGGCUAAUCUAGCAUAGGACGAACCAGGUUGUCUUUUUUUUUUAUUGGGUAUACUAGUGAAAGACAAUGUUUUUAUGUUCACACACAGUGGCUUCAGAUGUUAGUGGUAAUUAGAGCUUCAUGCUGCAAGAGGCUUCUUAAGUACUGCCAACACUGUGAUUAAUAAAGGAGCAGUUUUACAAUAUGACAUUCCAAUAAAUGCAGAAAUGGACAGGGGGAAAGUGGAGUGCUGUGAUGAACUGUUGGGACGUGGGUUUGACUUGGUACAGAAAUGAGAUCAUGAAAUAUUCAAUAUACAAUGUAUCAAUUAAAAGCUGACCUUUGACCCAGGGUGAGGAUGAAAUGAGACCACAUUAAAGUCGUGAGCAGGCGGUAAUCUCUGCUCAGUAACGAAGCAAAAUUCUCAAUUAUUUAUUUAUGUAUCAUUGGCGUUUGGACUGCAGAUAGUCCGACGCAGCAUUUUUAUGACUAACAACUCUCCCUUCCCCUUUUUAAUCCGUC
ensembl:lncRNA